rnacentral:rRNA from 1 species
UGUCGCCUACGGGGCGCAGCAGUAGGGAAUCUUCCACAAUGGGCGAAAGCCUGAUGGAGCAACGCCGCGUGGGUGAAGAAGGUCUUCGGAUCGUAAACCCCUGUUGUUAGAGAAGAAAGUGCGUGAGAGUAACUGUUCACGUUUCGACGGCAUCUAACCAGACAGCCACUGCUAACUACGUGCCAGCAGCCGCGGUAAUACGUAGGUGGCAAGCGUUAUCCGGAUUUAUUGGGCGUAAAGGGAACGCAGGCGGUCUUUUAAGUCUGAUGUGAAAGCCUUCUGCUUAACCGGAGUAGUGCAUUGGG